GACUUAUGAUAUAGAUGAGACCAUAUGUUUACAUAGAAUUUUCAAAAAAAAUAUUAUCUUAUUAGUUUAUAGAUUUGUAUCAAUUUUUACAACGGUCCACCCUUGAGAUCGAAAAAAUUUACUAAUUUAUAGGGGUAACUAAUUUACCGCUAUUAACUUAUAGAGAUUUUAUUGUAUAUCAACGUAUAUAUUUGUACGAGCUUUGCAUUUUGAUGAAUCAGUGGUGAUGUCCUAUGGGUUAUGAAGCUUCAUAACUCAUAGGACAAGCACACAAGAUAAAUAUGCUAAUGAAUCCAUCAGUCGAGUCUUGGAAGCCUUUAAGCAAUUGGAAGCAAAAGAUAUUAUGGCGACUAUCGCUAAUAUAUUGACUUUGAUCCAACAGAACUAUCCCAAAGCUCGUAUGAAUUUGAGAACAUUGCUAGAUAUUGCGGUGGAAAUUAAAAAAGUCACAAAGCAUAACAUUGAGGAGGAGGGUACACCAUCUUUUUAUGUUACUCAAAGGGUAGCACAAAUCAAUAGUUUCAUAGAUACUUCUGCUCUUGAUGAAUCAAAAGAUUAUCAAACAGCAGUUACCUGUUUUAUCCACAAUACUAGGUACUUGGACCAACUCAAAAUACUUGUUCAUAAUUUAUCAGAUUUAAAAGGUUUAUUGAUUAAAAUCAUAUAUGGGGUAUCUCUUCUGGAGGAAACAGAGGAGAUCUAUCAGAGAUGCUUGGCACUUUUUGCCUUGAUGCAUCAGGGUGGAGAGGAUGCCGUAAAUGUCAUUGUAGAAUCUUUGGGUGUUGAGAGUUCCAUGAUACACAUUGAGGUCUGUCAAAUUUCCAUGCAUUUAAUGAUGAUUUUGAGUUUGUCUCAUUGUUCUUCAUCUCUAGAUGCAUUUUGUUUUUGCUUCUUCUUAGGCUGCGUUUGUGUUCGAGUCGAGGCUAAGAGCUAAUCUUUUAGGCUCAUUCAAUACUAGAUUAAUCGCUAAAGAGACCUGUAUGACUUUGAAACCAAGGUACCCAAAUGUAAAAAAACAAUGACAUCUCGACGAAGAAUGGAAGCUCUCGUUUAAUAUCGGCCCAUCAUUACAUGAAAAAUAGAUAAACGGUGCGUUUUAAAUCCAUAUAAACAUCUUGUAAAUAAAUUUCUGAACACUGUGACAUCUAAGACCAAAACAAGAUAGUAGGGAUCAAAUUGAUCAUUGUAGUUGUUUGUUUGAUUAAUGGUUCAAAUUAUGGAAAUUAUGAUUAAUUCUAAAAUCAUCGAAGCUUUUGAAUAAUCGUGUCAAAAUUAAAUUUUAAUAGGUAAUCUUAUUUCU
rnacentral:sRNA from 1 species